rnacentral:lncRNA from 1 species
AGAGGCGGAAGGUCCCGGCGGCGGCGAGGAUGCGCCCCAGGGCGGGAGCGGGACGCUCCACUUUACCCUGGCUGCCCGCAACGGGCCAGGCCUGCCGUCUCUACCUCUCUACCUGUUGUAUCCACGAGUACCAGCAGAGUGCCUGACACAUAGUAGACAUAAAUCAGGCUGAAGAAUGACCAUGAUGGAGAAUUGAGAAACAAGACCAUCUGCAUCAACAGGAAUUUGCUGAUCUAGGAAUGCAGCCUGAAGAAAUCAGCACCUCCUAGAUACAGAAUGAACAGAAGGGCUCAGAAGAAAUAUGAGGACAAAUAGGUAUGCUAGACUGAGGCAGAAGAGGCUUGAAUAUUGACUUCAUCUUUUAAGAUAACUCCCCAGGUAAGACAUGAUUCCAAGCAAUGGAGGAAGAACUUCAUCAGAAAAU